GGAAUAGCUUUGAUCAAACAGAAAUAGCAUUAUUUAGUGAAUAAAGUAGAUUCAGCCUAAAAUCGUUCUUAGCUCUUCUGGUGGUUCUCAAUAUUCAACUUGAAGUCUAUAAACCAAAGAUGUCCCCUUGUCCUUUCAAAGCUGUCAGGAAAGACAGCCAAGAUGCUUGAAGAACACAUGCAAAAAGAGGGGCCCAGUUCUGAAGAAUACUGAGAACAUUUAGGUGUCUUCAUUAAAAAACACAAAGGGCAGCAUAACCCUUACACAUGAGCAAGUACAGGGGAGAGACAAGGCUGUGGUAGAGAAGAAAGUCCAAAUUGCUGCAUGAUAUGGAUUUCCCUUGUC
rnacentral:lncRNA from 1 species